rnacentral:lncRNA from 1 species
CCCAGAUCCCAUGAGGUGGCAGUGUCACCAUUGCCCCAGCCCAGAGUCAUUUCAAGGAGGAGCAGGUCACUUCCUGAUUCCCAAAGCAUCUGCCUGUACCAUUGAAAACUUAUUCCUGCUCAGUGGUCUAAAAAGCGAUGCUGUCCAUUCUCAGAAAUGGAGCAGAAAGGCAAGAGAAAGGAAGCUGAUAUUUUGAAUGUCCACUACCUGGCAAGUACUGGACCAGCCACUUGCAUAUACAUUUUCUCAAUUAUUCCUCACAAAACCUGGAUGAGAUGGGUGCUAGCAUCUCCAUUUUGCUGAUGAAGGAACUGAGCCCACACACUGAGGAAAGGCCAUAUGAGCACACAGGAAGAAGACUGCCAUCUGCAAAUCAGGAAGACAAUCAUCAUCAAGAACUUACCAUGCUGGCACCCCGAACUUGGGCUUCCGACAUCCAGAACUGUGGGAAAAUAAAUUUCUGUUGUUUAAGCCACCCAGUCUGAUAUUUUCUUAUAGCAGCCCAAGCUGACUAAGACAGGCAGUCAAGAAUUAAAAUCUGCUUGGAGGAGCAC